rnacentral:misc_RNA from 1 species
GUGUAUAGUAUAUUAAGAAAUUACUCAAUUAACUUUUUAAAUAUUGCUUUUACAUUUUCUUUACAUAUAAGAAUAGACAAUACUUUCUUAUAAAAACAAUUCAUUUAGAGGGCAAUAUCUGAUCUGGCCCAGCUCAAAAUUAAAUGGGGUGGUGAUGGAUAUAUCAAAAACCUACCCAUUGCCAAUGUAGGGGCCAUCAGACAAGGUCAUUCUAGUUGAAGUUGAUUCUCUUGAAGUGACAGUUGGAGAAAAAGGGCAAGCCUAUCAAAAGUCCUAACUAAGGCAAGCAAUAAGUCAAAUGGGCAAGGAUCACUGGGUAUGUGGUUCCAAUUCAGGGUCUGACUAGGAAUUAGAACCGAAUUGAAAUUUCGAUACAGUUUCGGUUCAGUUUCAAUGUUUCAGUUUUAGUUCCAAUUCGGUUUGGUUCUAUUCUCGGUGCUUCAAUUCGGU